rnacentral:rRNA from 1 species
UACGGGGGGAGCAAGCGUUGUUCGGAUUUACUGGGCGUAAAGGGCGCGUAGGCGGCCAGCACAAGUCAGUUGUGAAAUCUCCGAGCUUAACUCGGAAAGGUCAACUGAUACUGUGCGGCUAGAGUGCGGAAGGGGCAACUGGAAUUCUUGGUGGUAGCGGUGAAAUGCGUAGAUAUCAAGAGGAACACCUGCGGCGAAGGCGGGUUGCUGGGCCGACACUGACGCUGAUGCGCGAAAGCUAGGGGAGCGAACGGGG